rfam:Gossypium hirsutum cultivar TM-1 chromosome 14, whole genome shotgun sequence
CACAUCAGCGCGCUUUGCUGACGUGGGCACAAAUAGCGCUAACGUGGACGCUAUUUGUUUCCACCUCAGCAAAGCGCGCUAACAUGG